rnacentral:rRNA from 1 species
GAUGAACGCUGGCGGCGUGCCUAAUACAUGCAAGUCGAACGCUGGAAAUCUAGCUCGCUAGAUUGAAGGAGUGGCGAACGGGAGAGUAAUACAUAAGCAACCUACCCACGAAUACUGGGAUAAUCUCUGGAAACGGGGACUAAUACCGGAUAGGUAAUCGGAAGGCCUCUUCUGAUUAUUAAAGGUUAAAAACACUGGUGGAUGGGCUUAUGGCGGAUUAGUUAGUUGGUGAGGUAACGGCCCACCAAGACGAUGAAGCGUAGCCGGCCGGAGAGGGUGAACGGCCACAAGGGGACUGAGACACGGACCAGGCUCGUACGAGGGGCAGGAGUAGGGAAUUUUCGGCAAGUGGGGAAACCCUGGCCGAGCAACGCCGCGUGAGUGAUGACGGCCGUCGGGAUGUAAAGCUCUGUUGGAAGGGAAGAUCGGUAGAUAGAGAAUAACUAAAUGACGGUACCUGACCAGAAAGCCACGGCUAACUCCGUG